AUGUUGUUGCAGUUAAAAAGCUCGUAGUCGGAUUUCAGUUUAUCAAAUGAUUCCCAUGUGGAUCCUUUUGAUUUACUUCAUUGAUACGAACCUGUAUCUGAUUUAUUUCCGGUGCAGACUAGUAUCUCUUUUACUUUGAGAAAAUUAGAGUGUUCAAAGCAGGUCGUCGCCUGAAUAUUACUCUUGGAAUAAUGCUAUAGGACUUUGGUUCUAAUUUGUUGGUGUAUUGGGACCAGAGUAAUGAUUGAUAGGGACGGUUGGGGUCAUUCAUACUGCAAAGCGAGAGGUGAAAUCCUUGGACC
rnacentral:rRNA from 1 species